AUGCACGUAGGUGGGUUUGUAAGUCAGAUGUGAAAGCCUUCUGUUCAAAGGAAGAACGGCAUCUGAAACUGCAGAUCUUGAGUGUAGGAGGGGAGAGUGGAACUUCUGGUGGAGCGGUGAAAUGCGUAGAUAUCAGAAGGAACGUCGGCGGCGAAAGCGACUCUCUGGCCUAUUACUGACACUGAGUGUGCGAAAGUUGGGGGAGCAAACGGGAUUAGAUACCCCGGUAGUCCUAACUGUAAACGAUGGGCACUAAGUAGAGGGGUUUU
rnacentral:rRNA from 1 species